rnacentral:rRNA from 1 species
AUUGAACGCUGGCGGCAGGCCUAACACAUGCAAGUCGAACGGUAACAGGAAGCAGCUUGCUGCUUUGCUGACGAGUGGCGGACGGGUGAGUAAUGUCUGGGAAACUGCCUGAUGGAGGGGGAUAACUACUGGAAACGGUAGCUAAUACCGCAUAACGUCGCAAGACCAAAGAGGGGGACCUUCGGGCCUCUUGCCAUCGGAUGUGCCCAGAUGGGAUUAGCUAGUAGGUGGGGUAACGGCUCACCUAGGCGACGAUCCCUAGCUGGUCUGAGAGGAUGGCCAGCCACACUGGAACUGAGACACGGUCCAGACUCCUACGGGAGGCAGCAGUGGGGAAUAUUGCACAAUGGGCGCAAGCCUGAUGCAGCCAUGCCGCGUGUAUGAAGAAGGCCUUCGGGUUGUAAAGUACUUUCAGCGGGGAGGAAGGGAGUAAAGUUAAUACCUUUGCUCAUUGACGUUACCCGCAGAAGAAGCACCGGCUAACUCCGUG